GAAAUGCGAUAAGUAGUGUGAAUUGCAGAAUUCAGUGAAUCAUCGAAUCUUUGAACGCACAUUGCGCCCCUUGGUAUUCCAUGGGGCAUGCCUGUUCGAGCGUCAUUUGUACCCUCAAGCAUUGCUUGGUGUUGGGUGUUUGUCCUUUCUAUUGCGUUGGGACUCGCCUUAAAGACAUUGGCAGCCGGUAUAUUGGUUUUGAAGCGCAGCACAAUUUGCGGUUCUGGCCAGAAUUAUCAGCGUCCAUUAAGCACAAUUAACACUUUUGACCUCGGAUCAGGUAGGGAUACCCGCUGAACUUAA
rnacentral:misc_RNA from 1 species